UGAGUAACCUGCCCUUCACUCUGGGAUAAGCCUGGGAAACUGGGUCUAAUACCGGAUAUGACUCCUCAUCGCAUGGGUGGGGGGUGGAAAGCUUUAUUGUGGUUUUGGAUGGACUCGCGGCCUAUCAGCUUGUUGGUGAGGUAAUAGCUCACCAAGGCGAUGACGGGUAGCCGGCCUGAGAGGGUGACCGGCCACACUGGGACUGAGACACGGCCCAGACCUCCCGUACGGGGA
rnacentral:rRNA from 1 species